rnacentral:rRNA from 1 species
AUCCUGGCGGCGAGUGGCGAACGGGUGAGUAAUACAUCGGAACGUGCCCAAUCGUGGGGGAUAACGCAGCGAAACGUGUGCUAAUACCGCAUACGAUCUACGGAUGAAAGCAGGGGAUCGCAAGACCUUGCGCGAAUGGAGCGGCCGAUGGCAGAUUAGGUAGUUGGUGAGGUAAAGGCUCACCAAGCCUUCGAUCUGUAGCUGGUCUGAGAGGACGACCAGCCACACUGGGACUGAGACACGGCCCAGACUCCUACGGGAGGCAGCAGUGGGGAAUUUUGGACAAUGGGCGAAAGCUGAUCCAGCCAUGCCGCGUGCAGGAUGAAGGCCUUCGGGUUGUAAACUGCUUUUGUACGGAACGAAACGGCCUUUUCUAAUAAAGAGGGCUAAUGACGGUACCGUAAGAAUAAGCACCGGCUAACUACGUGCCAGCAGCCGCGGUAAUACAG